GUAGGUGAACCUGCGGAAGGAUCAUUAAUGAAACUUCAAAGUCGGCCAAAGGUUGUUGCUGGUGAUUAUUCACAUGUGCACGCCUUUGGUCGCAAAUCCACACACACCUGUGCAUCUAUGACUCGAGGUUGUAAUGACUGAGAGUAACUUUUAUACACUCUUGUAUGUAAUGGAAUGUCUUUUUGUGCUAUAAUGUACAAUAUAAACAACUUUCAACAACGGAUCUCUUGGCUCUCGCAUCGAUGAAGAACGCAGCGAAAUGCGAUAAGUAAUGUGAAUUGCAGAAUUCAGUGAAUCAUCGAAUCUUUGAACGCACCUUGCACCCUUUGGUAUUCCGAAGGGUACGCCCGUUUGAGUGUCAUUGUAAUCUCACUUCUACAACUUUAUUGUUGUUUGAAUGUGGACUUGGAUGUUGCCGUUUUAUCACGGCUCGUCUUAAAUGCCUGAGUGUACCCUGUUUUGCAGCGUAUCCAGUGUAAUAAACAUUUCACUAGAGUUGGUUGAAAGACCACGUUGACUAUAUGGGCUCUAUGCUUCAAACCGUCUGCCAUGUGGACAAUUUCUUGACAAUUUGACCUCAAAUCGGGUGGGACUACCCGCUGAACUUAAGCAUAUCAAUAAGCGGAGGAAAAGAAACUAACAAGGAUUCCCCUAGUAACGGCGAGUGAAGAGGGAAAAGCUCAAAUUUUAAAUCUGGUGUCUUUGACUCCCGAGUUGUAAUCUAGAGAAGUGUUUUCCGUGUCGGACCGUGUACAAGUUCCCUGGAACGGGGCGUCAUAGAGGGUGAGAAUCCCGUAUAUGCCACGGACUACCGAUGCUCUGUGAUACACUCUCAACGAGUCGAGUUGUUUGGGAAUGCAGCUCAAAAUGGGUGGUAAAUUCCAUCUAAAGCUAAAUAUUGGCGAGAGACCGAUAGCGAACAAGUACCGUGAGGGAAAGAUGAAAAGCACUUUGGAAAGAGAGUGAAACAGUACGUGAAAUUGUUGAAAGGGAAGCGUUUGAAGUCAGUCGCAUCUGUUGGGGUUCAGCCUGGCUUUUGCCUGGUGUAUUUCCUUUCCGAUGGGUCAGCAUCAGUUUCGACCGAGGGAAAAAGACAUUUGGAAUGUGGCUGUCUUCGGGCAGUGUUAUAGCCUUGUGUUGUAUGUCUCGGUUGGGACUGAGGAUUGCAGCGCGCC
rnacentral:rRNA from 1 species